AACGAACGCUAGCGGCAGGCCUAAUACAUGCAAGUCGAACGGUGUCUUCGGACAUAGUGGCGCACGGGUGCGUAACACGUAUGCAACCUACCUUACAUUGGGGGAUAGCCUUUCGAAAGGGAGAUUAAUACCGCAUAAGACAGUAGCUGGGCAUCCAGCAGCUGUUAAAGAUUUAUCGAUGUAAGCUGGGCAUGCGUCCAAUUAGCUAGUUGGUGAGGUAACGGCUCACCAAGGCAAUGAUUGGUAGGGGAACUGAGAGGUCAAUCCCCCACACUGGCACUGGGAUCCGGGCCAGACUCCUACGGGAGGCAGCAGUAGGGAAUAUUGGGCAAUGGACGCAAGUCUGACCCAGCCAUGCCGCGUGCAGGAUGAAGGCGUUAUGCGUUGUAAACUGCUUUUAUACAGGAAGAAACGACUCUUGCGAGAGGCAUUGACGGUACUGUAUGAAUAAGCACCGGCUAACUCCGUGCCAGCCGCCGCAGUAACAC
rnacentral:rRNA from 1 species